AACUACUGUAUUGUAAAUGAUGGA
rnacentral:piRNA from 1 species